rnacentral:rRNA from 1 species
UAAAAAUUAUUUUUAAUUAUUAAAUAAAAUAUUAUUUAUAUUUAUUAUUGUUAGAGAAAAAAUUUUUUUUAUUAUAGUUUAUUAGUAUAGUGAUAGAAUUUUUAAAAAUUGAAAAUUUAAAUAUUUAAAAGAAAAAUUUAUUUUUUGUACCUUGUGUAUCAGGGUUUAUUAAUUAAAUAUUAAAAAUUUAAUUUUCUCGAUUUUAAAAGAGUUAAAAAAUUAUAAAUUUUAUUGUUGAAUAAAUAUUUAAAAUAAUUUUUUUGUAAUGAAACGUUAUUCGUUUUUAAAUAUAUCUAGUUUUUGAAGAAAAAAAUUUAAUUUUAUUAAAUUAUUGAAAUUUUUUUUUUAUUAAAAAUAUUUUAUGGUUUAGUUAAUAAUUUAAGGGAUAAGCUUUAAAUUAAAUUUAUAAAAUUUGAUUUGUAUUAUAAAAUUGUAGGAUUAGAAAUUUUCAUCAAUAUAGUUUAUUAUAAUUAAUUUAUUUUUUAAUAUAAUUUAUAAAUAUUUAUAUUUUUUAUUCAAAUUAAUUAUUUAAUUGUUAUUAUUUAUAAUAAUGAUAAAAUUAGUAUGAUUUUAUUUAUUUUUAAUUAUAGAUUUUAAUAUUUAAUAAAGGAAUUCGGCAAAAAAUUUCUCGCCUGUUUAAUAAAAACAUGUCCUUUUGUUUAUAAUUUAAGGUCUGACCUGCCCAUUGAUGUUUAAAAGGCCGCGGUAUUUUGACCGUGCGAAGGUAGCAUAAUAAUUAGUUUUUUAAUUGAAAGCUGGAAUGAAUGGUUGGACGAGGAAAUAACUGUCUCUAUUAAAAUUACAGAAUUUUAUUUUUAAGUAAAAAAGCUUAAAUUUAUUUAAAAGACGAGAAGACCCUAUAGAGUUUUAUAUUUAUUUAAUUUUAUAUUUUUUAUAAUUUUAUUUUAUAAAAUUAAAUAAUUAUUUUGUUGGGGUGAUAGAAAAAUUUAAUAAACUUUUUUUAAAUUAAAUCAUUGAUUUAUGAAUAAAUGAUCCAAUAUUUUUGAUUAAAAGAUUAAAUUACCUUAGGGAUAACAGCGUAAUUUCUUUAAAGAGUUCAAAUCGAAAAAGAAGUUUGCGACCUCGAUGUUGGAUUAAAAUUUAUAUUUGGUGUAGAAGCUAAAAUAUUAAGUCUGUUCGACUUUUAAAAUUUUACAUGAUCUGAGUUUAAACCGGUGUGAGCCAGGUUGGUUUCUAUCUUUAAAAAAAAAUUAUAUUUUAGUACGAAAGGACCAAAUAUA